UGCGAAUGGCUCAUUAAAUCAGUUAUCGUUUAUUUGAUAGUACUUUACUACUUGGAUACCCGUGGUAAUUCUAGAGCUAAUACAUGCUAAAAACCCCGCCUUCGGGAGGGGUGUAUUUAUUAGAUAAAAAACCAAUGCCCUUCGGGGCUCUUUGGUGAUUCAUGAUAACUUAACGGAUCGCAUGGCCUUGCGCCGGCGACGGUUCAUUCAAAUUUCUGCCCUAUCAACUUUCGAUGGUAAGGUAUUGGCUUACCAUGGUUUCAACGGGUAACGGGGAAUUAGGGUUCGAUUCCGGAGAGGGAGCCUGAGAAACGGCUACCACAUCCAAGGAAGGCAGCAGGCGCGCAAAUUACCCAAUCCCGACACGGGGAGGUAGUGACAAUAAAUACUGAUACAGGGCUCUUUUGGGUCUUGUAAUCGGAAUGAGUACAAUUUAAACCUCUUAACGAGGAACAAUUGGAGGGCAAGUCUGGUGCCAGCAGCCGCGGUAAUUCCAGCUCCAAUAGCGUAUAUUAAAGUUGUUGCAGUUAAAAAGCUCGUAGUUGAAUCUUGGGCCUGGCUGGCCGGUCCGCCUCACCGCGUGUACUGGUCCGGCCGGGCCUUUCCUUCUGGAGAGCCCCAUGCCCUUCACUGGGUGUGCGGGGGAACCAGGACUUUUACUUUGAAAAAAUUAGAGUGUUCAAAGCAGGCCUUUGCUCGAAUACGUUAGCAUGGAAUAAUAGAAUAGGACGUGCGAUCCUAUUUUGUUGGUUUCUAGGACCGCCGUAAUGAUUAAUAGGGACAGUCGGGGGCAUCAGUAUUCAAUUGUCAGAGGUGAAAUUCUUGGAUUUAUUGAAGACUAACUACUGCGAAAGCAUUUGCCAAGGAUGUUUUCAUUAAUCAGUGAACGAAAGUUAGGGGAUCGAAGACGAUCAGAUACCGUCGUAGUCUUAACCGUAAACUAUGCCGACUAGGGAUCGGGCGAUGUUCCUUUGUUGACUCGCUCGGCACCUUUCGAGAAAUCAA
rnacentral:rRNA from 1 species